rnacentral:piRNA from 1 species
UCUUAUUCUGGGAUACAGCCUUGAAUUGA